UGGCGGCGUGCCUGAGAUAUGCAAGUCGAACGUCUCCCUGCAGCAAUGCGGGGGGUAGUGGCGGACGGCUGAGUAACACGUAGGAACCUGCCCCUAUUUGGAGGAUAACCCCGCGAAAGCGGGGAUAAGAUUCCAUAAUCCCCGCCUUUGGCGGGGUAAAGAAUGUAACUGUUCGAAUAGGGAUGGGCCUGCGGCUUAUCAGGUAGUUGGUAGGGUAACGGCCUACCAAGCCUAUUACGAGUAGCUGGCCUGAGAGGGUGGUCAGCCAGAGGGGUACUGAGACACGGACCCCACUCCUACGGGAGGCAGCAAUCAGGAAUAGUCGGCAAUGGACGAAAGUCUGACCGCGCGACGCCGCGUGUAGGAAGAAGCUCUAACGAGUGUAAACUACUGUGGUAAGGGAAGAAGUCCCGACUUAGUCGGGAUUGACGGUACCUUACUAGAAAGGGGCCGCUAACUGCGUGCCAGAAGCGUCGGUAAUACGUGGGCCCCAAACAUUAUCCGGUUUUACUGGGUGUAAAAAGUCGUGUAGGUGUCCCUAUAAGUCCCGCUUUAAAUACUAUGGCCUAACCAUAGGGAAGGGCGGGAAACUAUCGGGAUAGAGUUUUCUUUAGGGAGACUGGAACUUAGGGAGGAGUAGUGAAAUGCGUUGAUACCCUAGGGAACAUUUGUGGCGAAGGCGAGUCUCUGAAAGUUAACUGACACUGAGACACGAAAGCUAGGGGAGCGAAGCAGAUUAGAGACCUGCGUAGUCCUAGCCCUAAACGUAUGCUUGCUAGCUGCACCCCCGAUUUUAUCGGGGAUGUGGUGAAGGUAACCCGUUAAGCAAGCCACCUGGGGAGUACGGCCGCAAGGUUGAAACUCAAAGGAAUUGGCGGGGAGGCACACAACCAGUGGAACAUGUGGUUCAAUUCGAAACGAACCGAAGAACCUCACCAGGGUUUGACAUCCCGAUGACGUCCUCGUGAAAGCGAGGUUUCCGCAAGGACAUCGGGACAGGUGCUGCAUGGCUGUCGUCAGCUCGUUCCGUGAGGAGUGCCCUUAAGUGGGACAACGAGCGCAACCCCUACCUCGAGUUAUAUAUGUCUCGGGGAACUGCCCUGACAUUAAGUCGGGAAGGAAGGAGGGGCAGACGUCAAGUCAGCAUGGUCCUUAUACCCUGGGCUACACACAUGUUACAAUGGAAAAUAACAACGAGUUUUGCUAGAUCGCAAGGUUAAGCAAAUCUCUAAAAUUUUUCCUCAGUGGGGAUUGAGGUCUGCAACCCGACCUCAUGAACGCGGAAUUGGUAGUAAUCGCGGAUCAGCUAUGCCGCGGUGAAUACGUUCUUGCCUCUUGCACACACCGCCCGUCAAGCCAACAAAGUCGGGAAGAUUUGAA
rnacentral:rRNA from 1 species